GACGAACGCUGGCGGCGUGCUUAACACAUGCAAGUCGAACGGAAAGGCCCUGCUUUUGUGGGGUGCUCGAGUGGCGAACGGGUGAGUAACACGUGAGUAACCUGCCCUUGAUUUUGGGAUAACUUCAGGAAACUGGGGCUAAUACCGGAUAGGAGCUCCUGCUGCAUGGUGGGGGUUGGAAAGUUUCGGCGGUUGGGGUUGGACUCGCGGCUUAUCAGCUUGUUGGUGGGGUAGUGGCUUACCAAGGCUUUGACGGGUAGCCGGCCUGAGAGGGUGACCGGCCACAUUGGGACUGAGAUACGGCCCAGACUCCUACGGGAGGCAGCAGUGGGGAAUAUUGCACAAUGGGCGGAAGCCUGAUGCAGCAACGCCGCGUGCGGGAUGACGGCCUUCGGGUUGUAAACCGCUUUCGCCUGUGACGAAGCGUGAGUGACGGUAAUGGGUAAAGAAGCACCGGCUAACUACGUG
rnacentral:rRNA from 1 species